rnacentral:rRNA from 1 species
UACGUAGGGGCUAGCGUUAUCCGGAAUUACUGGGCGUAAAGGGAGCGUAGGCGGACUUUUAAGUGAGAUGUGAAAUACCCGGGCUCAACUUGGAUGCUGCAUUUCAGACUGGAAGUCUAGAGUGCAGGAGAGGAGAAUGGAAUUCCUAGUGUAGCGGUGAAAUGCGUAGAGAUUAGGAAGAACACCAGUGGCGAAGGCGAUUCUCUGGACUGUAACUGACGCUGAGGCUCGAAAGCGUGGGGAGCAAACAGGAUUAGAUACCCCCGUA